CGUGUAGGCGGCCGAUUAAGUCUGGAGUGAAAGUCCUGCUUUCAAGGUGGGAAUUGCUUUGGAGACUGAUUGGCUUGAGUGCGGAAGAGGUAAGUGGAAUUCCCAGUGUAGCGGUGAAAUGCGUAGAGAUUGGGAGGAACACCAGUGGCGAAGGCGACUUACUGGGCCGUAACUGACGCUGAGGCGCGAAAGCGUGGGGAGCGAACA
rnacentral:rRNA from 1 species